rnacentral:rRNA from 1 species
UUUUGGACAAUGGGGGCAACCCUGAUCCGGCCAUUUCGCGUGAGUGAAGAAGGCCUUCGGGUUGUAAAGCUCUUUCGCAAGGGCCCCCACCGAUAGUAGUGAAUAACUGCUGUUAAUGACGGUACCUUGAUAAGAAGCACCGGCUAACUACGUGCCAGCAGCCGCGGUAAUACGUAGGGUGCGAGCGUUAAUCGGAAUUACUGGGCGUAAAGCGUGCGCAGGCUGUUUUGUAAGUCAGAUGUGAAAUCCCCGAGCUCAACUUGGGAACUGCGUUUGAAACUACAAGACUAGAAUAGGUCAGAGGGGGGUAGAAUUCCACGUGUAGCAGUGAAAUGCGUAGAGAUGUGGAGGAAUAUCAAUGGCGAAGGCAGCCCCCUGGGAUCAUAUUGACGCUCAUGCACGAAA